GGGGUUUGGGGUGUUCUCUGUUUUGAACAACUUCAUUUUUGGCCUUAGCAUUUUAGUUUGCUAUCCUAGGAGAAAUUACUUGAAUUUCUUGUAAACUGGAGGAUUUGUUUUUUACACAGUUGUCUACUAAUUUUUUGCUGAUACGCCUCAUAUUUGAUCUUUUGGUUGCAUAAUGAAACAAACAGAAAAAAUAAAAAUGUUUGCAUGAUGGAUCACAUUUCUCGCAUGAUGCAAUGUGCAUAGGCAUGUUAAAAGUUGUUGGUUAUGUUGUUUGCUUAACUAUAUGACACAGAAUGACCACAUCAACAGGACGG
rnacentral:misc_RNA from 1 species